GUUAAUGUAGCUUAAAUUAAUA
rnacentral:tRNA from 1 species